rnacentral:rRNA from 1 species
UACAGAGGUGGCAAGCGUUGUUCGGAAUUAUUGGGCGUAAAGGGCGCGUAGGCGGCCCGUCAAGUCCCGUGUGAAAGCCCCCGGCUCAACCGGGGAACUGCACGGGAAACUAGCAGGCUUGAGUUCGGGAGAGGGAAGCGGAAUUUCGGGUGUAGCGGUGAAAUGCGCAGAUAUCCGAAGGAACACCGGUGGCGAAGGCGGCUUCCUGGACCGACACUGACGCUGAGGCGCGAAAGCCAGGGGAGCAAACGGG